rnacentral:lncRNA from 1 species
GUGCUGGGAGAAGCGCUCCUCCUUGCCUCCGGGUCCAAGGGCGGAGACGCUGCCUGGGGAGCAGGGGGGACAAGGGGCGGGUGGACCCUGAGGAGUCUUCCCUGCGCUUCGCACCCGCUCGUGGUCGAACAGGCAGCAUUGGCUAUUUUCCUGCUUGGGUUAAUAUUCAUAUCCCAACAGACCCAAGCCAAUUCUUGGUAAAAUCCUAAGUCAUUGCGUGGCAGCAACUGUAAAGUAAGGUCUAAGAGGGAGAUCGUGUUUCUCUGAAGAUCAAGUACCUGGAAAAGGAUAGAGAACCAUUUGCGGGCUUGAAGGUGCAGGCGUUCAGCGGCGCCGGGUCCCACUGUGUGUGCUACGUGUGGCGGGCAGAGAGACUACAUGUGUGAAAGGGAGCGGUCCGGCUACGAAACGCAAUCUAUGAGCUUCCAAUCCCGGGUUCUUAAAUGGGAGCUGUUGUAGACACUGCAGAACCAUCCACACCACAGUCCCACUUCCAGGAGGGGAGGUCUUAGCAGUUUGGAAUGCGUCCUUCCAACCACUUUUCCAGUGAAUUCACAACACACCCACUGUUCCUCCGGAGCAUGGGGGAAGGAGGUGUGGGCUGACUCGCACUAACCAAUCCUGGUUGGCCUCUGAGCAGGAUUCAGGCUGAGCCUGUCCCUGCCUCUGACUAUUAUAACAGCUCACCAAAAUCCAAAAUGCAUCUGUGUGGGGUCUCUGUGAGGUCGUGUGAAGUGGAAGUGACUUGCUUAUGAGCUGUUGACAAAUGAAACAUUGGGAAACCUUGAGUCUCCUAGGACACAUUCCUUCCAGCUUGGCUCAUCCCAGGAGUGAAUGACUCUACCUGUUAUGGACAAGCUGUUGCUGCAGUUCUUUGAAAUCUACCUGCUUCCAGGCUGAACUACUGUCAUUCUGUGAAAUCUACCUGCUCCCAGGCUGAACUACUGUCAUUCUGUGAAAUCUACCUGCUCCCAGGCUGGACUACUGUCAUUCUGUGAAAUCUACCUGUUACCAAACUAAACUGGAAGAAAACAAUCUGUAAUUCUUGUUGAAGGGAAAACACCUUUUCUUCCCUGCCCCUCUCUAAAACCCUGUCCGGGCAAAAGAGCCAGAGGCCAGGUCCUAACAUAUUUGCUAAUUGUGCUCUUGCUGGACUUCGGCUUCCUCUCAGGGUUCCUUAAUUUAAACCAGGUCCAGGAUGUCAUAAUUCUGUCUUUAUUAGUAACUACAUUUUACCAAGGAAAGAACCGAAUCAAUGUGCACAAAAAUUUUUAAAAAUCAGGUACUUGUAGUCAGUGGUGAAACCUUAACCCAGGCAUUUGUUAGUCAGCUAGAAUCGUUAGGGGCCUUGGUCCUGAGGAAAGCAGCCUGAGGUCUCACAACAAAGCUCCAGACAUCAAGGAGGUCCACAUGCAGGUUGACUAUCACAGACAAAGUCUGCUCUGUUCCUGUGUUCUGCCAGUGAUAACAUUCCUGCCAAACGCUGAAGUUGUUAUGAAGCUGGUACAUGUUAUAAGCUUCGUGUGAAAUGGCUGCUUUCAUAGCUAUCUAGCACAUUUUUCCUUUCCUUGAACAAGGAACUCUAGGUUUUGUGCUGCUAUUUCAGUACAAAUUUCACCAGUCUUCUUAGUGACAUUAGUAAGGAAUUAAGUAUGCUACAAGUCAAUCUCUCAGCUUUCUGCUUCUUGAAUUUAAAUUCUUAUUUUAACGAAACUGCAAAGUGUUCAAAGACUUCAUGGUCAUGUAUUGAACACUUGAUAAUGUCAAGCCUUUAGGUAGCUUGCGAAGAACUGAGCCAUGAACCAGGCAGUCCUUGUCGGGGCGAGUUUAUCUGGGGGGUAGGUGUGCUCCCACCUGCAUAUGUCACGUCCAAGAGCCCUAGGGGAGCCGGGCAGCAGGAAGUCUCGUCAAGGCAGCACUUGCUUCCCUGCUUCCUGCCACUGACCCCACCAUCCUCUGACACUGUCUCUACAGCUCAGGGACUCUUCUCCAGGCCUGUGGAGCACUUUCCCAGCCCUCCCUUCCUUCUCUGCGUGGCUGUGCUUGACCUCACACUUCCCUCCUUGGCAUUCCCUGCUGCUCUUGGUGACAGUGCUCGGUUGGCUUCUGUCCAAUUCCUGUGUACUGCUUCUUCCUCCCACGGUGGCUGCCUCUUUUUCUUCCUAAUGAUGAGAUGCAGAGUUCCCUCAGCCAUCACUGCCCCCUGAAUAUUCCCAGGCACUAUUUUACACAGCCUGUACUGCUGCCCCCUCACCCAUGACACCAAAAUAUUUCACUUUGAGGAAGACCUUAAUACUGGGCCCUUUUCCUCCAUAGGUGGCAUGUAAAGAAAGCUUUUUAAUUCUC